GGGGAUGUAGCUCAGUGAUAGAGCACUUGCCUAGCAAGCAUGAGGCACUGGAUUCCAUUGCCU
rnacentral:tRNA from 1 species